rnacentral:misc_RNA from 1 species
UUUCCGUAGGUGAACCUGCGGAAGGAUCAUUAUUGGAUUUUGAAACUUCAGGCUGCUGCUGGCUCUCCUCGGAGGGCAUGUGCACGCUUGUUGUCCAUUAUUUCUCCCACUGUGCACAAAUUGUAGACCUUUCAGUAGGCCUAUGUUGUUUUUCACAACCUCUGAAUGUAAUAGAAUGGUUUUGAAUCUUGGGAAAUACAAUACAACUUUCAGCAACGGAUCUCUUGGCUCUC